GCAAACUUGGUCAUUUAGAGGAAGUAAAAGUCGUAACAAGGUUUCCGUAGGUAAGUGGAAACUUUUCUAUCUUAUACCCCCUAUAGCCCAUAGUUUUUCAUAAUGUGCUGACUUUUCUCUUUUAGGUGAACCUGCGGAAGGAUCAUUAUAGAGUGGUAAACCCCCUAUAAAAAGGGGGGGACCCCCCGUCCUUUGCAGGCCCUUUUUUAAGGGGCUUUUUUGACUUUCUGCUUCGGUGGGAUUAUCCCACCGGAACAACCUCAAAACUCUGAAAAAACCUUUCUGUCUGAGAACCUUUUUUAUAAUAAAAAAAACUUUCAACAACGGAUCUCUUGGUUCUGGCAUCGAUGAAGAACGCAGC
rnacentral:misc_RNA from 1 species